CUCUCCUCUCUCCUUUCUCUUGGACCCUUUGCUCUGGGGAAACCAGCUGCUACAUCACCAUCAGCCUUGUGACCAUGCCACAUGGAACCUGGCCGUCCACUCCACCCACGUGCCUUAGCAAAGUGCCCUUGGUGAGGCUGAGGGACUAGGCAGCCAGGACUCCUGAGGGGACCUUAUCAGAGAGGGAAGCCACCUCGGACUGAGUGGUGAGUGCUGCUCUAGGACUGCCCUAAAACUGGAUUUGAACAAAAGACCACAUGCCGUAUGACUCCAUUGGAAUGAAACAUCCAGAACAGGCAAAGCCACAGAGGCAGGAAGCAGCAUCCCCCCAGGUCAGCAACACCUCUGGAGCUGAGGCUGGCAGAAUGUGGCGGGGGCUCCUCUGAGAGCAUGGCAGCUUCUAAUGGACCCACGUGGUUAGUUUGAGAGAAACAGUCACCAGAAGACAGCCAUAUGUGUCCGGGCUGGGAGACCUAACAUUUCAGAGCCACCAACCCUGCAUCACUGGCUGACAGGUGGCUGGACAUCGUGUCACCACUGUCUUCUGGGAAUAAACAUUUCUCAGCUUU
rnacentral:lncRNA from 1 species